GCUCAGGACGAAGCAGGAGAGAUGAGCACAGAAGGGCAGAGGGGUGGACAGAGAAGAGAAGAUCCCAGGCAGAGGUGAGCAGAAAGGGAGAGAGACGGGCUGAGUCGGGGAGGUGGAGAGAGGGGGAGAGAAGAGGCCGGUCAGAGAGGGGCGCUCAGAGCCAGAUGGAGGGGGCAGAGAGCUGGAAGAGAUGGAUGAGCCCUGGGGCCGGGGGGAAGCCUCGCUGAGGGGGGUGUGGAGCCAAUAGUGCCCCCCGCCCCACAGACCUCGCUGCUGCUGCUGCUGCUGCUGCUGCUGCUCAGCCCCGGCCUCCGCGGGAGCCCCGACUGCUCCUUCAGCCACAGCCCCAUCUCCUCCACCUUCGCUAAGACCAUUGGCAAGCUGUCUGACUACCUGCUUCAAGAUUACCCAGUCACUGUUGCCUCCAACCUGCAGGACGACGAGCUCUGUGGGGCCCUCUGGCGCCUGGUCCUGGCCCAGCACUGGAUGAGAAGGCUCAAGACUGUGGCUGGGUCCCAGAUGCAAAACCUGCUGGAGGAUGUCAACACCGAGAUACUCUUUGUCACCUUAUGUGCCUUCCAGCCCCCCCCCAGCUGUCUUCGAUUCGUCCAGACCAACAUCUCCCACCUCCUGCAGGACACCUCCCAGCAGCUGUUGGCCUUGAGGCCCUGGAUCACCCGCCGGAAUUUCUCCCGGUGCCUGGAGCUGCAGUGUCAGCCCGACUCCUCCACCCUGCUGCCCCCGAGGAGUGCCGGGGCCUUGGGGGCCACAGCCCUGCCAGCCCCUCAGGCCCCUCUGCUGCUCCUGCUGCUGCUGCUGCCCGUGGCCGUCCUGCUGCCGGCCGCCGCCUGGUGCCUGCACUGGCGAAGGAGGAGGCGGAGGCCGGCCUGCCCUGGGGAGCCGGUGAGGGGCGGCGAGCAGAGGGGGUGGGAGGGCUGAGGGGGUGGCCAGGGGCCCCCGGCCCCAGUCCCCAGGACGUGCUGCCCCUGCGGCUCGUGGAGCACUGACUUGAGGACAACACUGAGGCCCAGAGGGAGUGGUCACCUGCCGGAGGUCACAGAGCUGGGACUCGGAGGAAGUCAGCUAGAGACUGGGCCCUUCCUGAGCCGCGCCGCCCCUCUCAAUCUCUCUCCAGGAUGGAGGCAAC